rnacentral:rRNA from 1 species
UACGUAGGGAGCAAGCGUUGUCCGGAAUCAUUGGGCGUAAAGCGCGCGUAGGUGGCUUCGUAAGUCCGUUGUGAAAGUCAAAGGCUCAACCUUUGAAAGCCGAUGGAUACUGCGGAGCUAGAGUACGGAAGAGGCGAGUGGAAUUCCUGGUGUAGCGGUGGAAUGCGCAGAUAUCAGGAGGAACGCCGGUGGCGAAAGCGACGGACUGGAUAUCUUCUGACGCUGAGGCGCGAAAGCUAGGGGAGCAAACGGG